UACAGAGGGGGCUAGCGUUGUUCGGAAUUACUGGGCGUAAAGGGUGCGUAGGCGGUUCGUUAAGUCUGUUGUGAAAUCCCCGGGCUCAACCUGGGAAUGGCAAUGGAUACUGGCUAGCUAGAGUGUGUCAGAGGAUGGUGGAAUUCCCGGUGUAGCGGUGAAAUGCGUAGAGAUCGGGAGGAACAUCAGUGGCGAAGGCGGCCAUCUGGGACAACACUGACGCUGAAGCACGAAAGCGUGGGGAGCAAACAGG
rnacentral:rRNA from 1 species